CGGCGUCACGGGGCGCGCGCUGAUGCGAACGGGGUGACAGAUGGGAACGCCUCCGAGACCGCCAGCGACGACCCCGCUCGGGCAGCCCCGGAUUUCCUCGGCUGCACCGGCGCCGGCAGCGGGGACCGAGGCCCGCGUCCGUUCGGGUCGGGCCGGGGCUUAGCCCCGCGCCCCACGGGCGGCCGGGACCCCACCCGGACCCCGCCGCGGUUCUGGGCCGCCGGAGCCUCGCGCCGCCUCUCGGGGACCUUGUCCCCUGGCCUCCGGCCUCUCGGGCCCCUCGCCUGCCGUCUAGGAGGGAAGGGGCCUUGGAUCUGUGCCCCGCCCAUGGAACAGCGCCCGGGCUCGGAGAGGCCCCGCGAGGCCGCAGGCGCAGACCCUCCCGGAGGGCUGGGCGGGCACCGGGGUCUUCGGCUGGCUUGAGGGACCCGACCCCUGGGGGAGGAAUUUGGGGUCUGUGUGUCCGAAUGAACGCGGGGGUUCAGAUGAGUCUGUGGUGCCCCCGCUUUCCAUCUCCUCCGGCCCCGGCCCCAGAGGACUGUCUGAGAGGCCGGUGGCCGCGGAUCCUGGACGCGCCUCCCUCCUGCCUGUGGUUUCCCUUUAUUCCGGCAGCGGCGCGAGCCCACCCUUCACAUACAGGAGCUACAUCCAGAAGCUUCUCCUGGGGCCACAGCGUGGGCUUCCGAGACUCUGCGUGACCCCAGCUCUGCCCCUUUGGGGCUGCGGGUGAAGCCCUCAGGACCCUCCGCGUGCGUUGGGCAGGUGCACACAUUGUCUGCCCAGAGAGGGCCAAGAUGCCCCAGGCACCCCUUCGCUCCGGGGGCUCAGGACACAGGCUCCCAGCUGAGGCCACGCCUGGACCCAGAGCUGAUGUUUGGCUGCACGCGAGCCCACUCGGGACAGACCCAAGAACACGAAUUCUCUCCCUUUGGAUUUAAGGCUGGUGUUUUUUGACAUUUACUUCAGUUUUUCUCUCUGAAAUUAAAAUUACCUGAGUAAAA
rnacentral:lncRNA from 1 species